rnacentral:rRNA from 1 species
CGUACGCACUGGCCCAACUGAUCGAUGGUGCUUGCACCUGAUUGACGUUGGAUCACCAGUGAGUGGCGGACGGGUGAGUAACACGUAGGUAACCUGCCCCGGAGCGGGGGAUAACAUUUGGAAACAGAUGCUAAUACCGCAUAACAACAAAAGCCACAUGACUUUUGUUUGAAAGAUGGCUUUAGCUAUCACUCUGGGAUGGACCUGCGGUGCAUUAGCUAGUUGGUAAGGUAACGGCUUACCAAGGCGAUGAUGCAUAGCCGAGUUGAGAGACUGAUCGGCCACAAUGGAACUGAGACACGGUCCAUACUCCAACGGGAGGCAGCAGUAGGGAAUCUUCCACAAUGGGCGCAAGCCUGAUGGAGCAACACCGCGUGAGUGAAGAAGGGUUUCGGCUCGUAAAGCUCUGUUGUUGGAGAAGAACGUGCGUGAGAGUAACUGUUCACGCAGUGACGGUAUCCAACCAGAAAGUCACGGCUAACUACGUGCCAGCAGCCGCGGUAAUACGUAGGUGGCAAGCGUUAUCCGGAUUUAUUGGGCGUAAAGCGAGCGCAGGCGGUUGCUUAGGUCUGAUGUGAAAGCCUUCGGCUUAACCGAAGAAGUGCAUCGGAAACCGGGCGACUUGAGUGCAGAAGAGGACAGUGGAACUCCAUGUGUAGCGGUGGAAUGCGUAGAUAUAUGGAAGAACACCAGUGGCGAAGGCGGCUGUCUGGUCUGCAACUGACGCUGAGGCUCGAAAGCAUGGGUAGCGAACAGGAUUAGAUACCCUGGUAGUCCAUGCCGUAAACGAUGAGUGCUAGGUGUUGGAGGGUUUCCGCCCUUCAGUGCCGGAGCUAACGCAUUAAGCACUCCGCCUGGGGAGUACGACCGCAAGGUUGAAACUCAAAGGAAUUGACGGGGGCCCGCACAAGCGGUGGAGCAUGUGGUUUAAUUCGAAGCUACGCGAAGAACCUUACCAGGUCUUGACAUCUUGCGCUAACCUUAGAGAUAAGGCGUUCCCUUCGGGGACGCAAUGACAGGUGGUGCAUGGUCGUCGUCAGCUCGUGUCGUGAGAUGUUGGGUUAAGUCCCGCAACGAGCGCAACCCUUGUUACUAGUUGCCAGCAUUAAGUUGGGCACUCUAGUGAGACUGCCGGUGACAAACCGGAGGAAGGUGGGGACGACGUCAGAUCAUCAUGCCCCUUAUGACCUGGGCUACACACGUGCUACAAUGGACGGUACAACGAGUUGCAAACUCGCGAGAGCAAGCUAAUCUCUUAAAGCCGUUCUCAGUUCGGACUGUAGGCUGCGACUCGCCUACACGAAGUCGGAAUCGCUAGUAAU